rnacentral:rRNA from 1 species
AAAUUGAAGAGUUUGAUCAUGGCUCAGAUUGAACGCUGGCGGCAGGCCUAACACAUGCAAGUCGAGCGGCAGCGACAACAUUGAACCUUCGGGGGAUUUGUUGGGCGGCGAGCGGCGGACGGGUGAGUAAUGCCUAGGAAAUUGCCCUGAUGUGGGGGAUAACCAUUGGAAACGAUGGCUAAUACCGCAUGAUGCCUAC